AACAAUAAAGAUAAUCAAUGAUAAUGAUAAUUGAAGUGGGUCAUAUAUAAUAGGCGGAAAACAUGGUGAAAUCUAGGGUUAAGAUUAAAAAAGAUGAUGGAAGGGAAGAUGAAGGUGAAGAUGAAGAACAACAAUCAGAUUAGCGAGAAGAACAGGCAUCAAAAUUCUGGAUGGAGAAGUUCCAGUUUUCCAGACUGCAACAGCAGAAAUGAUAAGACCACCUGCUAAGAAGGCCAGUAAUCUGUCCUCAAUGCUGUGUGGAGGUGGCUGUUCAGAACAGUAUUUACCGCAUAGGGUUGCAAUGCAAUUCGGAACCGACGAAGAUCUUUCAGGGUUGUGUUGGUCAGUGCUCUAAUUAACAGACCUGAGAUUGCAGAGAGCUUAAAGCUUUUGUUGAAGAGCUUGAGCAGAUGAUCACACGAAUAAAAGCAGCAAGAUUAAAACAAAAAUUGUUAACCUAGCUAGCCUUCUUCGUGAGAAAGAUUUGCUUGAUUUUAUUUUAAUUGAAUUCAUGGCUUCUCUUCUCCUGUUGGCAUUGCAGCAGGUUCCUAUAUGGAUAACUCCCGCCAUUGACAACAGAUGCAGAACAAGGUUAAAAGGAUAAUAGAAAUAAAACUUGAAUUAACUUAAUAGGUUAACUAGUGACUCAAAUGACUUCAAACUUGAAUUAAUCUUGUAUUAAUUAAUCUAGGUUAAGAAAAAAUAAAAAUAACUUGACAUCAUAUUUAGUACAUGUUUGGUAUUGUGAUAUAAAAUGUUUUUUUUUGUAAAUGUCUUUUGUUUACAAAUACAUCAAAAUAAUUUUUUAAAAGAUUUUUUUAUUUUUAUAAUAGUACAUCAAAAUUAUCAGAAAAACACUAAAAAUAUAUCAAUUUGAUGUUUUUAAAUAUAAACACAUAUUUAAAAAAUACCUAAAAACAAAAACUACCGCAUUUCCAUCCGAGCUAUUUAAAAAGCAAAGAGGGAACUUUUGAGAUGAAUAAAAUCAAGAAUUGCAAUUGCUAAAUUUUUUAAUGUGUUUUUGACGUGGAACACAUAAUAAAAGUAUUAUCUAAAAAUAAAUCAAGUGUAUCAAAUGACAUUUAUAACAAAAUCAGACCAUGACUUUUAAUUCAAUAAUUAAAUUUUAAUAAAAAAAACUUCUAUAACAUUUUAAAGGACUUAUUCUUUAUAGAAACAUCGACAAAACAUCAUUAAUGUUUGAUGUAUAGAGGUAUCAACUAUAACUUGAUGUCUUAUGAUGUAGAAAUAAAUAUCUUCUAGGGCACUAUAAAAGUUUUAAAGGUAGCAUAAAGAACCAUAAUAUAGAUAUUUGAUUAGCAAGAGAAUUCCAUAGCAAACUUAAUUGAGGGGAUGGAUCAACUACUAGGAGGAGGCAAAUAAAAAACUUGGAGAAGAGAGAGACGUGUUUAAAAACUUACCUCAAGGUGAACCAAACCCUAGAUCUAUUUCUACAAACUCAUAAAGACAUCAUGUCUAUUUAGAAAGUGAUUUGUACGAUGAACUAAAAACUUUGUCUAUAGCUAAACUUUCAUAGACACUUUUCUAAUUUUGAUGAAAUUCCUUUUGUUGAUAAGAAUUUUUCAAAAAAAAAAAAAAAAGGUUUUUUAGAUUAUUGUCAAAGUUAAAAGCUUACUUUUAUUUGAACAAGAUUUUUUAUUAUCAAAAUAAGGAUUUUCCAUACAUAAAUUUACUUAUUAAGUUGAAGGUUGGUGGUUCAAUCUUGUGGUUGAUGGAGCUUGUAUUGAUAAAUUUGUAAUUUCAUCAUAAAAAACUAUAAAAUAUAUUAAUUUUAGAGUUUGUACAAGAUGAAUAAAAAAAUAUUUUAUUUUGGUCAUAUAAUCACAAUCAAGUUAUUAUUACUUACCUUAUGUUCAACUUUCAACAAUAACACAAAAACAAAACAUGGAGGAGAACUAGCUUAAGGCUAAAAUUAUUUGAGUCAAUAAUAAGAAAUAGUUGAAAAACAAUUCAAUUUCUAUCUUGAACAUACUUAUUGUUCUUACUUUAUUGAUCAAUGUUGUUGGUAAUAGUGAAUUAAUUAUUUUAGCUAUAGUUUAUUUUUAAAGAAGUAGAAUAACCAAAAUUAUCACCAUCCUUGAGGAACAACAUGAAAGCAUAAAUAUAUUGAAAAACCAAAGUAACAUGAAGUAGAGGUAACAUUUCAAAGAACAAUAUGAAGAUAAAGAAUAUGUUGAAAUUAAACCAAUGAAUGAAAAGGUAGAAAAGUUACUAAUUUACUCAGGAAAUUAGAGUUAAAAUUAAAAAAAAAGAAAGAUAGAAAAAUAUUAUCUUCCUCCUGAAAUCACAAGAAAGUUUUGUCUAAAGGAUAAAAAGAAAGAGACUCAAAAAAUUUACUUUGUUAGCAUUUUAGUAAAUGAGGUUCAAUUUAUGAACAUGUUAAUUAUAAUGCUAAGUAUUUUAUGUUUUUUUUGGAAUGAAAGAUUUCAAUUUCUAAUUAUGAAACUAACAAACGAGUUCUUCUCAAGUAAAGAAGCUUGACACGAGAUGUGCAACAAAAGUCUUAACUUAAGAAGAAGUUUGGAUGUGUUAAAUGAUAUUUUUGACAAAAAAAAAUAGUUAUAAUUUUUUAUUCAAUUGUUGAAUCAAAUUAAAAUUUUAGAGAAUGUUCUAAGGCCUUGUUUCAUAAUAGGAAUAUCAAAGCAACAUCAUCCAAGUUUAGGAACAUGCCCACAUUAGAUAAAAAAAAAUAAAAAAAUGACAGGAGAUUUUUUUUAUUUUCCUAGUUGUUUUAGGAUUUUUUUUUUUAUGUAAAGUUUUAGAAUAUUAUUUGAUUCAUAUUUCUAUACCUAAGUUGGUGUUAUCUCUUGUUUAAACAUGUUAAAUAAUCCAAAUAUAUAAAGAAAAAUACAAAAAUAAGAGAGGAAAAGACUAAUAUUUCAUUGAUAUUUUAUAAUCACUAUAAUUUAAAGGAAUAAGUUUGAUUUAAAUACAAAAAAAUUAUAUAUAAACUAAAUUAAACUGAAAAGAAAAUAUUAUUUUACUUUCAAUAAAUAAAACAAAAUAACUUAUAUUUCUUAACAAAACAGUGGAAUUUUUCAUUAAAGAGGAUAUUGAUUAUUAAAAAAUUUAUUUAGAACUUUUAAGUUUUAGAGUUUUCUUUAUAAUUCAGAGAUAUAAUUUUAGGACUUGAAAAAAUUUAGUUUCUUUUUUAUAAAUAGUUUAUGGAUGUAAUUUUUAAUACUUGAGAAACAUUCUUCUCGAGAAGAAAAAAAGGAGAUAAAAAGUUAAGGGAUUGGACUGAUUGUGUUCUGGUGCUGAAGUCUAGAGUUUGGAGGUUCUGGGGAAAGGGUUUUGCUAAGGUUCAAGAGGAAAUGGGCAAAGCAAGGACAAAAGUGAGCAGAGUGCAUGCAGCUGGGAAUCGUGAAAAGGCACAACUUUCCUGGCACACCGGAAAAUCAAUAAUAAAUUAAUACAGGUUAGCUGCUAUCAAUUUGCGAAAUGCUCUUAGUAAUUUGAAACCUUUUUAUUGCAAAAUCGUCCUUGGCCCACAGGAAAUGUAUUUCAGUUUAGUGGUUUCUUGGUGAUUGAAGUGGUAACAAGAAGAAGCAACCGCCGACAACAAGAACACUGCUGCUGCCCUCCACUUUCCUUUUUCCCGCGAAUCCCUUUCGCUGUAUGUAGUGAACUGUUCACAAAGCUUGGACAGGGAGGCACUUGAGAAGCAACAAUGCUACAUGCCUAAUAGCUACUAGGUAAAGGAUGCUCUUACAGACGCCAUUUGAAGAAAAAAAAAGUUAAAGUUUUUUUAAAAACAAUCUCGUAAUCUUUUCAAAAGUUUACCCCUAACUGUGUUUCUUAUUGUAUUUAAGAUAAGAUUUGAUUAAGAAAUCCAUUGAAUUUCAGGCUAAAAGGCUAGAGAAUAGGAGUAUCCUUUUCUCUCUAAUCCUUUAUCCUUUGUGUGAUUGGAAAUGGAUCUGUACUAAUUAGUACCUUGCUAGAACUGACUUCACAGUGUAAACAUCAAGCUCCCAUCUUUUCUGUUCUUUCCAAACAAGAUCAUGACCUUGUGAACCAAAAACAGCAAAAGAGUCUGCCUAAUAUUUCCAAUUUCACAAUUUAAUGGGUCCAGUGACCUCACAGGAUCCUUCUAGCCUUUUCCACGAAUAAAAUUCUAACAAGCCUAUGCGAUUGCUUGUUGUUUGUUAACUGAUCCUAUAUCCACUGAUAAUGGCUAAGCAAGCAAAGAUUUUCACUAUCAGUUUGCUUCAUUCACACAGAAACUCAGCUAAGAACUGACUGAAACAUGAACCAUUGCACAAUGCUGGUACACUUUACAUGUAUCAUUACAGACAUACCAGCUACAAAACAUACAAUUAUAUCUGCAAAGAGACAGGUUGGCUCCUAACAAUUUUUGCUACUUAGUUCGUGCAAAAAGUAACUAAAACAUAAGCCAAAAGAGCUGUAGAACUCUAUAUAUCUACCUCACUCAGCAUGUUAAUUCUAUUUGUAUUAACUACAUUGUGAUAUUGUUGGUCAGACAAACCUUCUUCUGGCUAAAUUUAGCAGCCUUUAGCCCAUCAAUUUCUUUCCUAAGCUUGUCGAUCCGAGCUUCAAGUUCUAAUCCAUCUGUGUGAAUAUCAAAACGACUCCUACUUCCUCUUUCAUCAUCUUUGAGAAAACCUGCACCAUGGAGUACUGGACUAGGGCUAUCUAAUUUGUUUUUGCUGGAGUUUUCCGUGGUUGUGCUUUCUUUUCCACUCCUAGGUUCCUUCUGAAUGCUGCUUUCCUUCAAUUUCAUCUCUGCAUCAACAUUUGUAACAUCAUUGUUUUCUGCAGCAGAAGAUAAUAGAUUAUGUGUAGUAGCCGGCAAAGACUUGCGAUCACCAUAUAUUAUAUGAUCAACACUUUUGAGCUUUUUAUGAGUAAACAACUCCUUCAAUGUUAGAUCAUCCUCCUCAUCAGAGUCCAAGCCUUCAACAUGUUGACAUUUAGGAGGGUAACCAGGAGGAUACAGAGGAUCAUGAUCUGACUUCUUCCCUUUGAAACAUGGAACCGAAAUUUCUGAACCUUUUGGAUUUCCACUUCCAUCUUUCCCACCAAACACUGAUUGCUUCCACCAUUCCAAGUAUCUCAUAGUAACAUCUGGCUUGCAAUGUCUUGAUGGAAUAUAUAGCAUUGCAUUUUUUAUUUGCUUAUCAAAACGCCUCCAGGAAAGUUCUUGAGUUUCAUUUCUUCUCUUUACAGGACCUGGAAGAUCUUGAUCCAUGCCAAACUGCAUUGCCACUCGAUGCGGGCUGUACUGUUCUACACACCCUAUUCCAACUAAUUGACAUGCUCUCAAGCAUCGAGUAAAGGAUUUCAAUUCGUCAUCAGCAUCAACAUCAACAAGCACCCAUUUCUCUUCAUCACCAUAAAUUUUGUAGCACAAACUCUCCACGGCUGUGGCAUAAGGGCGCCACUGGAAACUUCCUUCAGAAUCUAGGGCCAAUCUUACAUUCCUAACGGUUGAACUAUUCACAUUAUGCCAUCUAGCUAAUCUCGGCACUUCCAAGUCAGUCACAUUAGGCUUUGGUUGCAAUUUUGGAAACCUCUCCCAGGCCCAAACCUGAACUAUAUGAAAUGGUGACCAAAUGGUGAGUUCUAACUUUUGAUCAUCAUUGUCAUCCUCAAAAGAAACUAAAUUGGACAAAGCUAGAAUCUUUUUCUUCAACAACCUCAAGUCUCGGUAAAUGCUUGCAAGAAGGGCAGGUCCAAGUGCAAUUUUGAUACCUCUAGCUAGACAAACAGCAAUUGGAAAAACAUGUUUGGGAAUGCUCAUAUUUGGGACACUGGGAAAAACAAACCUCGACAACCAUAGUGACAGAAAAGCCUCGUGCUCGACUUCGCUGUUGUUUUCCAUGAGAUAUUUAAUCCAGGAAGAAUGGUCAACUUUUUUGCUUUUUGACCGCCUCAACAGUUCUCGGAUUUCCAUUAGCUUUUGUUCAGCUUCAUGCAAUUCCUCUGUUUCAAGAGGGGUAAAAACAGGGGACCCCAAAACAGAGUACCCUGCAACCAAAAUAUCUUCCAAGGUGAUUGUUGCUUCACCCCAAGGAAAAAUGAAUGUGUUAGUUUCAAAACACCAUUUCUCUGCUAACCCAAUAAGGAAAUCAUCGUCUCUUCCGAUUUGGUAAAGAGAACUCAUGACUGCUUGAUAGAUUCCAACUUUUCUCCAUGUUGCUUCAUGCAAAGCAGCCAUUUUAUCAACCCAUUCUUUCCACCUCCUUUGUGCAUAUCUCCAACCAUGGAAUGUUAUUCUUAAAGGCCACUUUUUGGGUUCAAAGUUAGAGGGCAAGGAGAAGUUGUAGUGUGAAGGGUGUUUGGGAGUGUUUUCAUCUAUGGAAGAGGUUAUUGAGGGUUUGAUAAAAUGGGCUGUUCUAAGUGUUGGCUGUGCAUCGCCAGAGAGUGAAACCAUAAGUUCCUUUCUCGUUUCAACAAUGGGUCCUUCUGAUUUCUCCAUAGAAAAAAACGGUGAAGUUUCUUGCAGAGAAAGAGAAGGAGAGGUUCGGGCUUAGGGAGAGCCAAAGGUUGCUGACAUGAUUGUUUCGAACUAGCAAAGGAAGUUAAUGUGACGAUACAAUUUCAAGUAUUCAAAGCUUCCUCUAGAAUCUAUACCUUCACUACAUCUCUUCCAAAUAAUGUGUUAAAAAGAAUAAAAAUAAAGGCAGUAGAAAUGUCGAUAUAAAGUCAUGGCUCAUGAUUGCAUAAGGGAAUUAAUUUAAUUUUUGGAUGCGUAAGAAGUGGGGAGAGAACUUUAGAAAAUGGAUAAAAAGAGAUUCUGUUUAUUUUUUCUUUUUAAAAGUUUUUUUUAAAUAAUAUUUUUUAUUUUAAAUAAAAUUUUUAAAUAUUUUUACAUCGUUUCGAAGAAAAAAAGAGAAACAUUCAUUGGGAAGAAAAUAAAAGGAGCUAAAAAGUUUAGGGCUUGGACUCUGUGUUUCGGUGCGAAAGUCAAAGUUUGAGGUUUUUGUGGCAAGGGUUUGGACUGAAGAAAGCAAGGGUGGAAGCAGCUGGUAAUCGUGAAAAGGCAUAACUUUUCUGGCACACCGGAAAAUCAAUAAUAAAUUAAUACAGGUUAGCCCAUUUAUUUGACGUUUGAAGUAAUUUGAAACCUUUUUAUUGCAAAAUCGUCCUUCGCCCAUGGUGUGUACGCCGUUUUUAAAAUUGCAUUUGAGAGUGUUUUAAUUUGAAAAAGUGUUAUGUUAUUGUUUGGAGUUGAGUUUCAACUUGUUUUUAUUGAAGUUUGAAUUUUUUUUAUUUUAAAUUAAUUUUUUAAUAUUUUUUAAUUGUUUUCAAAUAUUGAUGUUAAAAAAAAUUUUAUUUUAAUAUAUUUUUAAAUAAAAAUUACUUAAAAAAACAACCACAAUCACAUUUUUAAAUACCUUCUAAGUGCCUGUUUGAGAAUGUUUCAAUCUGUGUUAUGAGAUUGUUUCAAUAUGUGUUAAAGUGUGUUUCAAAAAUAUAUUUGUCUUAAAAAAUAUUAAAAUUGAUAUUUUUUAAUUGAUAUUUUUUUAAUACUUUUCAAUAAUUUUGAUAUGUUGAUAUUAAAAAUAAAUAUAAAUCUAAAUUGAUAUUUUCAAUGUUUUCUGAUAAUUUUGAUAUAUUAAUAUAAAAAAUGAAAAAAUUAUUUUUAUUUAUUUCUAAAUAAAAAAAACUUUUGAAAAAUAAAUGCACCAUAAUAUCUUAUGUAUACUAAAUUGAUGUUUUUAAAAAUAUUUUUUAAUAAUUUUAAAAUACUGAUAUUAAAAAUAAAAAAAGUUAUUUUAUUAUAUUUGAAAAAAACUCCUAAAAAAUACAGGACAAAAACAUAAAAAUGGAUAGCAGCUUUGUUACAGAAAAUACUGCUCAUCCUUGCAGCACGUACAGUGUAGGAAACAACCAUUUUUCUGAUCCUUACACUGCAGAAGUAAAUAAAAACUUCAGACACUCUCUCCAUAGUUGUUGUCUUUAUUCCUUUUAACAUUUCAGUGUCUAUCAAUUUCUCGAUUCCUAGAACAAAACCUAGCUCUUUGCCUUUCCUUUGUGGAAAACGCCUUGAAGAGUUUCUGCAAUAAUUGGUUUCCUUCAUUCUCCCAGGAAACAAACAAACUUUGGGAUUCUUAUCAAUACAUAAUAGGUCCACUCACCAUUGUGAAAACCUCUUGAAACCCAUGAAUGGAAGAGGUGAAAGAAACCAUGCUCGAUGUUAGAGAAGAGCAAAUGGUGUCGUUCACUGGUGGCAGCAAACCAACUCUAAGAACAGCCCAUUUCCUCAAACCUACUGUGGCCACCAGUACAAGGUCAGUCCCCAAGCCCCCUACAUGUUCUCUAUCUUCUCUACCUUCAACUUUUGAGCCUAAAGAAUGGCCUCUGAAGAUAAACUUCAGUGGUUGGCAGAAGCCUAAACUGAACUGGGCAACAUGGGUUCAUAAGUUGAAAUUCAAGUAUCAGCCUUUAUGGAAGAAGGCUGGAAUUUAUGAAGCCAUCAUGCAUUCUACAUUCAUUGUUGUAAGAGACUAUGAUUUUAUCAUUGGACUUGCAGAGAAAUGGUGUCCUAAAACCAACACAUUUGUAUUUCCUUGGGGAGAAGCAACCAUCACCUUAGAGGACAUGAUCAUUUUGGGAGGGUACUCUGUUUUAGGCUCCCCCGUUUCUUCAUGCUCUGAUUAUGAAAGCAGAGAAUUGAAGGAAAUUGAAGAUAAACUAGCUGAAGCUGGGAGGAAUAUCAGCAGGGGUAAGGUUAUUAAGCCUUGCCAAUCUAAAUGGAUGGAGAAGUUCAUGGACAGCGGGAGUGAAAUCGAGCACGAAGCUUUUCUUUCACUUUGGCUGGCAAGGUAUGUUUUUCGAGAUUCUGAUAUUGUACUCAAGGGCCAUUUUUUUCCAAUAGCAAUUCAAAUGGCAAGAGGGGAACGUAUUGCACUUGCUCCAGCAGUUCUGGCUAGCAUUUAUAGAGACCUGAGUUUGUUGAAAGAAACAAUUGUUUUUACCACCAAGUUAGAGACUUUUGAGGAUGGUGUAUUGGCACUAACAAUUCGGUCACCGUUUCUGUUAGUCCAGAUUUGGGGUUGGGAGAGGUUUCCGAUGUUCCAACCGAAGCCCGUUUUCCUCAAGAAUGGUGAUCCCAGAUGUGCUUUAUGGGAUAGUGUGAAAGGUGUCAAAGUUGAGAAUGCAAGGCUGGCUUUGGAUUCAGCCGGGGAGGCUUUUCGAUGGCGGCCUUAUGCAAACCCAGGAGUAAGAGGUUGGCACUUCCCGGAGUUUUACAGAGAGAAAGGAGAAUGGCUAGACCUGGGAUCUAAUGAAGAUUUGUUGUCAUUUUCCCUAUGCUUGACAGUAUCCAAGAUGGAUGGUCUAGGCUGUUCAGAACUGUAUCUUCCUCAUCGUGCGGCAAUGCAAUUCGGAAUGGAUCAAGAUGUUCCUUCUCCUGUAGCUCGAUCAAAUGAAAGCUGCAAAUGUGCUUCGAAAAAUUACAUUAAGUCAUUUUCCAAUUCCAAAUUCUAUUUUCCACCUCGGUUAUUCGAGUCUGAUGUUACCAUUAGAUACUUGAACUGGUGGAGAGGGUCGGUGCAAGAGGUGACUAAGGAUGUGACUGAAGGUGUUGUGCGAAGGAAACGAAGUUUCCGAAAGAGAUCAAAUCGAGUUCCAUGGGUUUCAACAAAGAAUGAAGGCAAUGAUUUAGAUGUCCCCCCUGGUUUUCCUCCCAAAUCUGGCAGGAUGAAAGAAGGGGAUGUGGCUGAGAAUGAAAAAACAACUUUGGAGGAUAUAUUAAGAGACUGUAGCCUUCAUAACAGUUUAGACAGAAGGGAAGGUACAUCUGUUUAUACUUAUGGUCUCGCUCACAGUCCUUCAAUUGUAAAAACAGGCGGUGCAGGUUUUCGAAAGAUCGAGGCGCUAACACAACCAGAAGGAAAAACCACGCAGGUUAAAGCUGGAAAGGAUGGUUUGCAAAAAGCCUCAGAAGACGCAGAUGUGUUCAUAGCUGAGACUUCUGCUAACAUGGCGAGCACCAGCAAAGAUGCAGAAGAAAGCAACGGCUCUGUCUUUCAGAUCCCAGUAAAUGAACUUGAUGCUCGGGUUGCUAGGCUUGAGAUGGUAAUGGCCAAGAUAAAAGCAGCAAGAUCAUGUUUGUCAAAAACCCCACAGAAGAAUCUGCUCCCCUGAUGAACUAAGCAGUAUGAUUUCAUUUAAGUGCAUGUUUCCUUUGAUGCUUGCUAGGCUCGUAACAAUUGUAAUCCUUAAAUAGGUCUACAUUUCUGUGUAAAUUGCUUGCUUGAAUUACAAACCUUCUCUGGAUGUAUUACCCAGCCUCGAGUGUAAUCAGUGAAAAGUAAAAUCAUGGAAUAUUUUCAGUAUAAAGUGUAAACAGGAUGAUUUUAUGGAAACACAUGAUAGGCACGUUUCGGUAAGAUAGCUAGAUAUUAAAAAAUUAUUAAUUUAAUAUAUUUUCAAAAUAAAUAUUUAAUCUGGCCUUAUAUAUAUAUAUAUAUAUAUAUCAUGUUGUGAUUAGCAUGUGACUAUUUGUUUUUUAAUUAAGUAUUGUUAUGUGUUAGGGACUUGGUAUUGACAAAACAAGGGGCUAGAUAAAGAUAUAUAUCUUUUUAAAUUAACACGGUUUUUUAAAACACUUGAAAAAAAUAAUAUGUUUUGAAAAAUAAUUAGCAAAAAUAAUAUAAUUCGAUACAUGUCGUAAUUGAAAAUUGCCAUAUUUUAAAGUUAUCACUCAAAUAAAAUGUGACAUUUCAAACAAAUUGUUAAAUGGCUUCAUAAAUUACAAUAAAAAAAAAUGAAAGAGAAAAAUAAAGACUUUGAAACACAUCAAAAUUAUGAUUACAAUACCACCAGUAUUAUUAGAAAAAACUCAACAAAAAAAAUUCAAUGACACUAAGAAAAAUCACCAAUGAUGCAAGUGAGCAAUUAUAAUGAGAAAACAAGAUAAAUAAAAAUAAAGAAAGAAAAAAAGAAAAAGACAUGGAGGUACACCGAAACCAUGAUUAUGACACCGUUGGUACCAUUAAAAAGAUUUUGAUUACAAGAAUCUAACAAUACUGAAAAAGGUCACAAAUGGUGAUUAGAAUGGGUCGCACAUAGUGGGUGGCUUACUUGUCUUUGAACGGAAAAUGUGACUCACUUUGGUCAUCUUUGGUGACUCACUCCGGUUAUCUUUGGUAAUAUUUCUUGGUGUUUUUGAAUUCUUCUCAUCAAGAUUUUUUUGAUGGAUCUUGUGUUAUAAUUAAAGCUUUGAUAUGUCUUUAUGAUCAUUUUUUUUUUCUCUGCUCAUUGUAAUUUGUGCAAUUCAUUCAACAAUUUCUUUUUGAAAAUGCUGCAUUUCUGAUCAUAGAUGACUUUAAAUGUCACUUUUUUCGAUCAAGACAUAUAUCAACCAUGUUAUUUUUUAAUUUCUUUUUUCAAGUUGUGUUAUUUUACUAAUUUUUUUUAAAAAAUAUGUUGUGUUUUCCAAUUAUAACAUGUAUUAACUGUGAUAUUUUAUAUAAAAAAAUUCAAACUAUUUUAUUUUACUAUUUAAAAAAAUACUCGUGCUAAUAAGAAAAUUAUGUUAGAUAAAGGGACUUAGUGAGUAUUAGCUUUUGUUUUGCAUUGCAAAAUAUUUUUCAAAGUAUUUUUAAAUUUGUUUUCCUUAAAAAAGAUUAAAUUAAUUUUUUAAAAAAAUGUUUUUAGAUAAUUUUGAUAUGUUGAUAUUUAAAAUAAAUUAAAAAAAAUCUAUGAUAAAUUAUUUUGAUAUAUUUUAAAUUAAAAAACAUUUUUAAAAAACAUUUUACAUCCCAAUACUUUACAAACACUUAAUUUAUAAGGUAAUUAAUGUUCGCACCCGCACAAUUCUCUUUGUGGAGUGAUAAAAUCUAUUAUACUAAAUUAUAUAUCUCUUAAAUUGUAUGUAAAGUAACGAAUACAGUUACUGAGUUACAAAAUGGUUUUCUCAAUAUUAUAUUAACAAGUCCCAUGUUUCAGUUACGAAGCAUAUCUACCCAUUUCUGGUGCUUCUCUUCUAUAAUUAACUUUUUUCAAGGAAAACAUGGUGAAAUCUAGGGUUAAGAAUAAAAAAAGAAGAUGGAAGGGAAGAUGAAGUACAACAAUCAGAUUAGCGAGAAGAGCAAGCAUCAAAAUUCUGGAUGGAGAAUUAUCGUAUUGUAAUGAGAAGUUCCAGUUUUCCAGACUGCAGCUGUAGAAAUGACAAGGACACCUGCUAAGAAGGCCAGUAAUCUGUAGUGAAUGAGGAAAUUCAUGGAUAGUGGCAGCGAGAUUUAGCAUGAAGCGUUUCAAGGUAUAUUCUCCCAUAUACUUAUGAUUCCAUCAGGAAGCUUGUUUUCUCUAUUGUAAUUCAUGUCGCUAGAGGCAAUAGAAUUGCACUUGCACCUGCACCUGCUGUUCUUGCCUGCAUUUACAGAGAUAUAUAUGACGUUGUUGAAAGGGAAAUCGCAGAGUCAACCUUGUUGGGGAUUCCAAAGGGAAAACAUGAUGGUUUAACAGUUAAGCUUUGGUCAUCAACGCAAUCAGUUCAGGUUUGGGUUUGGAAGAGGUUCAAUGAACUGCAGCCGAAGCCUAAUCUGAUGAAGAGUGGGUGCCCUAGGUUGGCUCAGUACUGGGACAAAUUGAAACAGAAAGUUGAGAGUGUUUCGUUGGUUUUAAUCUUUGAGGAUUUCAAUGCAAUUCGGAAGUGAUGAAGAUCUCUCAGGUUGCAUGGGCUGCUGCUGACUGCAGAUGACAUUUAUUCCCACUUGACGUGUGAUGACCCAACACGCAGUCUACGCGGCGCUGUUUGUUCAGCCGAACCAAAACCUGAACUGAAAUAUAAAUAUAUUUUUUUAAUUUUUUAAUAUAUAUAUAUAUAUAUAUAUAAAAAGAAAUUAAUUUGAAGGAAAUAUUUUUUUUAUAAAUACUUUUAAAUUGUAAGUAAAAACAAAUGCUCUAAAAAUAAUUGGGGUCAUUGUAAACAAAUAAUGUUGUUUGAUUUUUAUAUUUUUUAAAUAUUUUUAUUUUGUAAUAUUGAAAAAUAUAUUAAUGCAUUCGAGUUUUGCAGUGUAAUCCAUUAAAUACACAACUUGAUCAUUAACUUCAUUUAUUCAACCUUCUUCUGUUUGCUCUCCUAUUGAAGCGAAAUGAAAAGCAAGAAGCUACUGGAUUUAGGGUUUGUUUGGGAAUGCAAUUAAAACUAUGUUUUUUAUAUAAAAAAAAAUUCAUUUUUUUAAAUUAUUUUCAUGUUCUGAUAUAAAAAAUAAUUUUUAAAAAAUAAAAAAUAUUAUUUUAAUAUAUUGUUAAGCAAAAAAUACUUUAAACAACAAUUGCUACCAGACUCCCAAACAUAUCUAUUGAUUACAACAAACAUACAAUCAAAGCUUUUCAUUUUGUUAAAUAUUUCUAUGCACUACAAUGUAUUCAUGUUUUCAAGAAAUAUAUAUAUACAAAAGGAAGUAAGAAAACCUCGUCUACUUAAACUCCUAUUCUAGGUAAGAUAAUAAUCUGUACAAAUAGAUUUCAUUACAAUCUUGGAAUCCAUACAUAUCUUACCAGCUAAUACACAAUCUUGUUAGCUAACACUCUCCCGCAAAUUGGUGCAUAGAUGUCUAUCAUGCCUAACUUGCCAAUCAUACUAUAAAAAUCCUUGUUUGAUACUGCCUUAGUGAGGAUAUCAAUUAUAUGACUUGUAGAUUUAACAAACAGAAAACAUAUAAUUUUUUUAUAUCUAACUUCUCUUUGAUAAAAUGACGGUUUACUUCAACAUGUUUAGUUCGAUCAUGUUAAACAUGAUUGUGUGCAAAUCUGAAUUGCUACGUUAUUAUCACAUUACAAAUUGAUAGAAUCUAUAUACUUGAUCUCUAAAUCCUUCAAAACACUCUUGAUCCAUAACAACACAUAUAUUCCCUAAAUCAUUCCUUGAAAUUCUACUUCUACACUAUAUUUUGCUAUAACUUUCUAUUUUUUACUUCUCCAAGUAAUCAAAUUCCCUUCCAUAAAGGUCGAAUAACCAGACAUAAACCUCCUAGGUGUUUGAUUUCUUGCCCAGUCUGCAUCAAUAUAGCCUUUAAUAUUUGAGACACCAUUCUUCAAGUAUAAUUAACCUUUGUUAGGCGCACCUUCAAGAUACUUAAGAUCAUGUAGACUGCAUCCAUAUGCUUCUCAUUUGAUGCAUGCAUAAAUUGGCUCACGAUACCUAUAAUAUAUGUUAUAUCAAAUCUAGUAUGGGUUAGGUAAAUUAACUUAUCCAUAAGUCUUUGAUACCGACCCAUAUCUGUAGGGAGUUAAUCUGGAAAGAUCCCAAGUCGAUGAUUCGUUUGUAUUGGUGUUUCAAUAGGUUUGCAAGCUAGUAUCUCAAUCUCACUUAGAAGAUCCAAUAUGUAUUUAUGCUGUGAAAGGGAAAUUCCUUGUUUGGACCUUACUACUUCAAUGCUAAGAAAAUACCUUAGUUUUCCCAAAUCUUUCAUUUUGAAUUCUAUAGACAAGUACUCUCACAAUGUCCUCAUUUCUUUAGGAUCAUUACCUAUCAAAAUCAUGCCAUCUAUAUGCACAAUCAAUAUCGUUACCCUUCCAUCUUUAUGUUUUACAAAUAACGUAUGAUCUAUAUUGCUCUAUUGAUAACUAAUUGCUUUCAUUGCCAAAGUAAACCUCUCAAACCAUGCGCGAGGAGAUUGCUUUAAACCAUAUAGAGAUCUAUUUAGGUUGCACAUUCUGCCUUCGUGUUUGGAACUUUGUUUUAUUCCAAGCAGAGGUUCUAUGUACACCUCUUCUUCUAGAUCACCAUUCAAGAAAACAUUUUUUUAUGUUGAAUUGUUGUAGGGGCUAAUCUCAAUUUGCAGUAAUGGAUAUGAGAAUACAGAUGGUGGUGAGCUUGGCUAGUGGUGCAAAGGUCUCUUGGUAGUCGAUACCAUAUUUCUAGGCAUACCCUUUGGCCACGAGUCUCGCUUUAUAUCUAUCAAUGCUUCCAUCCGCUUUAAGUAUAACAAUGUAUACCCAUCUACACACAAUUGCAUUUUUUUUUGCUGAUAACACAACAAGUUCCUAAGUGUAGUUCUUCUACAACGCUUCCAUCUCUUCAUUCAUAGCCUUUUUUCACCUUGAAUCUGCCAAUAUAUCCUGCAAAUUAUUAGGAAUAGACACUUUGCAUAAUUGAUUAAUGAUUAGUGCAUAAGAUUCUAAAAGUCCAUGAAAAGAGACAUAGUUAUUGAUAGGAUAUUUAACAUUGGUUUUAAUGUCCAGCUUAUAUUGUUUCUUUGUAACACCUUUAUGAGGUCUUUGUGAAUACUUGGGAGUGGGUUGAGAUGUAUCCUUAGUGGUGGGAUUAUCUAGGAUAUUUUAAGCAGAAGACUCUCUAGUUGAUGGUACGAGUAAGUCACUCAUCGCAGUUUCUUCCUCACUGAGGUUCGUAGCUUUUGUGUCAUCAGCACACAAUUCAAUCAUCUCAGCUUCUUCCCCAUCAUGGUUUACAACUUCUGUGUCACCAACAUAAUCCCUACAAAGGUAAUUGUGCAAUGAUAAAUUCCUCUCGUUUGGAAUAGUUUAAGUACCAGUGAACAAAGUAGCAUUAUGCUUAUUACUACUCUCUUUUUUUUCAAAUGCCACUAGCUAUAUAAAAACACCACCUCACUUUUAUCAAAAAUAAUAUUGCAAAGCUUACCCUUUUCAUACACAUUCUCCCCCUGAAGAGGAGAGCCUAAAUCGUUUACUAAAUACUAAGGAUUCAUUUCACGAAAGGAGACAUCAAGAGAUACAUGUAACUCGUGAGUUUGAGGGUAAUAACAUCUGUACCCUUUCUGAAAAUCAGGGUAACUAAUAAAUACACAAUGUUGGGCAUAGGGAUCAAGCUUGCUACGCAAGACUUUGAGUAUGUGAACAUACAUUGUAUAACCAAAGGUUUUAGGUUCCAAGUUUGGUUGAUGGGGUAUGUAAAAGAAGGUUUGUAAUUUUUAGUAUAGGGUCUAGAAAUCAAUCACCCAGGAAGGCACUGUAUUGAUAAUGUAGACAACAGACUUGGCAGCCUCUUCGCAAUAGAAAGGAGGCAUAUUCAUUCCAAAAAAAAUGCACGUACCACCUCCAUGAUCUACCUAUUUUUCCUCUUCACAAAGCCAUUUUAUUGAGGUGUGUAGGUGUAAGAAGUAUGAUGUCUAAUUCCUUAUUGUCAAAGAUAAUCACCAAGCGAGUUCUCAAGAAAUUCCAUGGAAUUGUCAUAUUGCCAUACCUGAAUUUGUUUUUGAAAUUGAGUUUUCUCCAUGUUGUAAAAUUCCUAAAAAAUAGUACUAGCAUCACUUAUCUUAGGUAAUAAGGAUACUCACGUCAUACGAGUGCAUUCAUUAAUAAAGGUAAUAAAAUAACAAGUUUUAGCCAUAGAUGGGAUUACUGCAAAUCCCCAAAUAUCAAAGUGAAUAACCAGAAAGGGUUUAGAGCUUUUGUUGAAAGAAGGGAAGUAAGGUUUACAAUGGCUUUUUGUCAAUUCACAAAUGUCACAUUGAAAAUCCAAAAUAUGCAAUUCUAUAAACAAAUUAUGUUUUAAUUUCUGAAGCUAACUAAAGGAAAGAGGCCUUAGCCUCUUAAGCUAGAGCUACACCUUAGACAACUUCCUAUCACCUUUCGUCACAAAACAUGCCUUAAUGUACUGCCAUUUGUUAGUUGUUGUCAAUUUCAAGUAGUAGAGGUUGCCCCAUUAAUUUAACAUCACAACCAAGAGUCUUUUGGGUCAAAAUAUCCUGAAAAACACAAUAAAAAGACCAAAAAAGUAACAAUGUAAUUUAGUGCUAAAGUGAUUUGGCCUACAUAUAACAAAUUACAUUCAAGACUAUGAACAACCAAUAUUGUAUUAAGAGUUAUGGCAGUAGUUAGAGCAAUGGAGCCCUUUCUGGUAAUAAGGGAGAUAUCAUCAUUGACUAUAGAUAUGACUUGUUGGGAUGAUGAACGAAGAUUUUGUAAUUUACUAGAGUCUUUAAUCAAAUGAUCGUAUGCACCGGUAUCAAUAAUCCAAGUAUUAUCCAUAGUAAUAGCAGAAAGAACACUAGCCUUAACAAUAUUACCUGGCUGAGUUAAAUUAGUUAAAUUAACAGUAGGCAUGGAAGUCCCCUCCUAAAUUAGAUGGCUUUCACCUGAUUUCGCCAUUACAGUUUUUCUAGUAAUGUUCUUCCGUGAUUUUUUUCAAAAAUCCUACCAUUCAGGAUAUCCAAUAAGCUCAUAGCAACGCAGCUUUGAAUGACUAGAUUCACCACAGUGGAUACAAACAUAGUUAUUUGGCUUUCCUGAAUCUUGACUAUUUUUCCCUUUGGCAGAACUAGAAGCUAUUCCUCGCUGGUUUUGAUUAGCUAUCAUGGUUGUAUUUUCAAAGACCGGCCGAGAAACUCCAAUAACUUGUCAUUGUUGUGACUCUCUUCUCACACAUGCGUAGGCUGCUUCUAGGUCCAGUUUUGGUUCCUUUCAAAGAAUUUCCCCAUGGAUUUGAUCAUAUUUAGAAUCAAGACCGCUUAAAAAAAAUGUACUCACAAUCUAAUCAUCACCGCAUGAAGUUGUACAAUCCCUUCAAUAGAUUCUUCUUAGAAUGUGCUGCGAUGAUCGAUUUCCUGAAAGAUUGCAACAAGUUCAUUAUAAUACAUGGAUAAAGGCCUAACAUUCUGAGUGGUUAAAAAUGACUUUUGAUUCAGUUCGAACAAUUAUGUUUCAUCAGAUCCAUUGUAGAAGGUCCUUGACACUGCCUCAUAUAUUUUCCUUGCUAUAACAAGACGAAUGAAUCUCUGCAUUAGGUGGGGCCUCAUUGAUUCGAUGAGCCAACUCUUUACUUUAUGAUUUUUGAUAAUCCAUGUAUCAUAGUUCAGAUCAUUAGGUGCAAGUUUCACCGCUAUCACAGUUAGAUACCCAACCUUGUUGCGGUCCCAAUAUGCAUCUCUAUUAACUGCGACCAUAACAUAUAGUUGGUUUCAUUGAGAAUAAUAUUGACAGGAGAGCCGGAGGUUUCUUGUUGAACGAUAAUUGGGUUUGACAAAGGAUUGCGUGGAGUGGCUGGAACAAUUGGAUCUCGCUCUUGUUCUGCCAUUGUGAUUUUGUUUGUAGGAGGAAGUCCCUGGAAUACAAAGGUCAAGGGAGAAUGCAGGGAAGAAUAGUAAAAAAAAAAAAAAAGUUUUUCAAGCCUGAGCUCUGAUAUCAUGUUGAUUACGACAUUCAACCGAAGCUUUUCAUUCUGUAAAUAUUUCUGCGCACUACAAUGUAUUCAUCUUUUCAGGAAAUAUAUAUAUAAAGGAAGUAAAACGUCCUAGUAUGCCUAAACUCCUAUUCAGGGUAAGACUAUCUGUACAAGGAAACAACUACAAUCUUGGAAUCCAUACGUCUCGACAGCUAAUACACAAUCUUGCCAGCUACCACUAUCAAAAUGGUAGACCCGUGAUAUUUGCUGGAGAGAAACAAUGAGGCCCUUCUUGGCUCUCUCCAAUCUAUGCCCUUCUUGGCUCUCUCCAAAAUGGCGCCGUUUGUUCAGCCGAACCAAAAGCUGAAGUUAAUUAUAAAUAAUAUUUUUUUUAUUUUUUAAAAUAUAAAUAUAAAUAUUCAACUUUUGCAGCUUAACCCCGUUAAAUACGCAACCUUAUCAUUAAAUUCAUUUAUUCAACCUUCUUACAUUUGCUGUCCAUGUGCUCUCCUGUUGAAGCGGAAUGAAAACCUAAAAGCUCCAAAAUUUAAGGGGUUGUGUUUGAAAAUAUAAUUAAAUCAUGUUUUUUAAAAGUUUUAAAAAUUAUUUUUUAUAUAUAUUUUCAGAUUGUUUUGAUAUUAAUAUCAAAAAUAAUUUUUUAAAAUAAAAAACACUUUAAACAUCAAAAUUUUAAACUCCCAUACAUGUCAAAAUGGUAGACCCAUAAUAUUUGCUGGAGAGAAACAAUGAGGACAUUCUUUGCUCUCCCCAAUCUAUGCCCGAAGGUCGAUGUGCAUGUGAUGUGUCUUCCCACCAUGUGAUGUGUCCUUAAUAAUUUGAUUAAUUGCUGUUAAUCUUUGAUGUCUUUAUUCACGAUUUUUCCACAAUAAGAUACUGUGUCGAUGGUCCUGCCAUGUUCUAAUUUAAUAGCAUAUAAAAAUAAAAAUCAAUACUUGUAAAACUUAAAUACCAACUAGAGUGUUUAUUUAAGUAUUAUAAGUUUUUAUAAAAAAAAAACAAAAUAUGGCUAAUUAAUAUAAAAACCAAAUAAAUAUUGAAUAUUAAAAUUAAAAAAAAAAAAAAAAAAUUGAGGUUGUUCAUUGUUUAUAUGAUGAUCAAGCACCAUAAUAUGCUUCAAUCCUAAAGAGAGUAAUAUAUAAUUCUUGAUUGGGUAUUUUUUUUUUUUUAAAAAAAAAAAAAACACUAAUAAUAACAUCUUUAACUGAAAGGACACAAUAUGCGUGUUGCGCGAGCUCUGGUUGUUAAAAGCCUGGCAGUGUCAUUAUUUGUGAGAAACCGUUUCAAAUCAUAGAAAUCAAAACAAGCAUUUAUGGCGUUAUCGUGCGAUAUCGAAAAGAUACGCGCGAGAGAUCUACAAAGCUCGAGCGGAAGACUUGAUGACUUUGUGGAUUCAUUUAUACAGAUCUGUAAACGGUAUUGUUAAGAGCCCUAGUCAUUGUAUACCCAACCUUUCAAUUUCAAUAGAAAGGAGGAAGUCAGUCAAUACGGGUGUCUGCAACCAUGGAUUCGAUCAAGCGUUUAGCCCCGAGCCCCUGUGUUUCCAAGUCCAAACACAGGAAACAAUAUUGGGUACGAAACAAAUCUAGUUAUAUUUCUAUGUUUUUCUUAUAAAGAUUAUUCUUAAUGCUUGUUUCUUGACUUCUUGUUGCUAUAUAUCAUGUCAUUAUCCCCAGAAAUUAAAAAUUAUUAUUUUUCUUAUACAUGUUAAGAAGAACAGAGAGAGGAGAGAAACUAUAAAACGAUUGGAAACAGAUAUGAUCGAGAUCGGUGAGGGACAACAACGCAUCAGAGAAGGGCAACGAGAAAUAAGACAAAAGUUUGAAGAGAUAGGAUCUGAAUGCCGCAGGCUCAAAGAGGAGACGAUGAACAUAGCCAAGCAGAGUGAUUACAACCAAGUCAGGAUAAACCUAAUGUUUAGCAUCUUGAAAGCCCGUGAAGACAACAACUUUGCCCAUGCUGAUCACCUUACUGGGCUCCUCCGGUUGGUUAAAUUCCCUUCGCCAUUUCUUUUCUUAAUUCUUGGGAUUUCGGAUUUCAUAAUUAAUCUUGCUAAUGCUAGCUAUUACAAGGAGAGAAACAUAAGUUAACGAACUCAAAAUAAAAGAAUCAAAAUGCACCCUUGAUAAUUAAUCUUCUCUCAAUAAUUGUGUUUCCUAUUCGUUGUGUUGGCAGCAAGGAAAUGGAAAAGCAGGAACAAGGAAAGGCAGGCCUGGUUGGCUGACUCAUGAUCAUGGAAAACGACGAGCAGUUUGCCUUUGCAGUGACUCCUGAUCGUCUUUUCUUAUUAAAAUGAAAUCAUCAGUCCUAAAUCUAGAUAUGUAUCGACAUUAGUCUUCCCUUGAUAUCCUUCUUCCUUUGAUGAAGUAUUCAUUUGAUUAAGGAUUUGCGUUCUCUUUCCGAAUUGAAUGUUUUGAGUUAUAGUACAUACCAUGUGAAUUGCCGGGCGAUGCCACCGAUUGUUAUAUAAACGGUAUAAGCAUUCGGUUGAGUAUAAUCUGAGGUAAUCGAAGAAGAACAUAGGCCGACAUAAUUAAACAAAAUGAGAAAAAAAAUAAAAAUUACUAGAAGUAUUGAGGUUAAGCAAUGCAAUCACAAGCUUUAUGUUAGAGAAACGUAAAGUCUUAACUAGCCUGUUUAGCUUUGCAGUAUUCAGUUGUUUUUAUUUAUUUUGAUUUUGUUUUUUAAGAAUUAUUUUUCAUAUUAAUUUUAAAAUAAAUAAAUAAAUAAAUCAUUUUUUUUUACCAAAAAAGGGUGUGGCUUCAAUAACAAAUAGUGAAAAAGUCUCAAAUACAAAGCAACAAGUACAUAAUAAAUUACCUGAUUGUUAAUCAAGGUAUACAUAAAUUCACUCGAAUAUUUAUAAUUAUUAAAAUAAUAAUAAUAAAGAAAGAAAGAGCUCCAGACUUUUUGACCGUGCAUUCUCAUUUCACUUUGAAUUCCAGUGAGAUUGAUAAUUUCUUUUGGAAAAAAAAACUUGUUUAACUUUGUCUCAGGUGUAGAAAGGUGUUUUCAAUGGGAUUUAUUAGUAAUUAUUAUUUUUAAUAGGGACAACUUAGUUUGUUUGCGUUUUAAAUAAAGUGUAAUGAUUUAAACACUUUUAAAAGUAAGAAAAAUUAAAACUAGUAGGAAUAGUUUUAUGGUUUUAUAGUAAAAGAAUGAUAUUGCCCUUAAAAGAAAAUGAUAAAACUUGUAUUCAGAGUCAUUUAGAUCUUUUCAAUACAGUUAUUUUGUAAUUAUAUAUUUGAAUUAAAAACAAUUAAAUCUUUAAUUAUAUUUAUAUAAAUAAUUAAUAUAUGUCACAUACAUUUUAGCAAGUGAAAGGCGUUCAUGCUCUUAAGAUGAUGUUUGCCUCCCCUAACAAUGGUUAAAAGUUGUGUAAACAAUGAUGUUUGAAACGAUGGGUCAUUCUCUUUGCGAUGGUGGGAUGCUUGUUUACGAAUGAAGUGUGGUUGAGCUCCUUAUAAACAUUUUUCUUUUCCUGUUUUUUCUUCCUCUUUUAGUCUAGAAAUUGAUGCCAACUCUUUUAAAAAUUUAUUGUGUUCUCUAGUUUGUAUUUUUAUUAAUUUUGAUUAUCAUUUGUUUUUGCUUUUAAUGCAUUUUGAUCUUUAAUUGAUUUGCAAUUUCAUCCAUAAGAAUUUUGUUUCAUUUAAUUUUUAUAUGAAAUUUGAUCUUUAUUAUUUUAUUUCUAUUUUUUUUGUUUUUAUACUUAUCUAGAUUUUUUUUUUCAAUUUUACCUCUCAUUAUUUUAUUUUAUUUAAUUUUUGCAUUCAAUUUUAAUCUUUAUUUUUUUAUUGUUAUUUUUUUUAUUUUCUUAAUUUUUUUCAUUUAGCUUUUAUGCUAGAUUUAGUCAUUGUUGUUUCGAUUACUAUUUAUUUUGGUUUUUAAUUUUGGAUGAUUAAGGAUUAUGCUUAGUGAUUUUUUAUUGUUUGCUUUUAAUGAGAUAAUCUCGAUCUUAUGAACCGGGUCACUAUUUCAAGGAUUAAUCCGAUUUAACUUUGAUUUUUUAUUCCUUUUUUUUAAAACAAAAUAAUUACUUUUUAAUUUCAUCAUUUGGUUUUAGGUUAUUAGGUCUAAAUUCCCCCCAUUUAUGUGGUGUUAUUUCGGUGUUAUAUCUUAGGUUGAGUUUUUUUCGAGAUAACUCUGGUUUUUUUUUUUUUAAUUUAGUUUUUCUAAUUUAAUUUUUUAAUAUUAAAUUAUUGAACCUUACAAAUUGUAUUUUGUUCAUUAUUUUUUUUUUUUAUAAGUUUAACAUGAUCUCGAGGUCAUUGUCUUUUUUUUAAAUUAAUUUUUUUAAUCUGGAACUCCCAUCACGGGUCGCAUGGUAGUCCAACUAAUCUGAGUUAAGUUAAAGUUUUUUCAAUUUUUUUUUAUUUUUUUUUACCAGUCGCACGCACUGUGUAGCGUAAAACUAAAAGUUGUAUCAGAAGAAAUGUGCAGGACAUGUGUAGGUCGGCUAAUGCUGGCCAUAAAUAGCCAUGUCUGUGAAGCUAUGCAGGUGUGCUAGUGGAGACAGAAACACUUAUGCAGAAAAGUGUGACGUAUGUUCCGGUAGUUCCAAAAAGAAUCAGAUAAAUAGUUGAGAAAUUUAAUAUUUUAAAGUUGUUUUAUGGGAAACAUGAUAUUUCAAAAAUAUAUUUGUUAAAUGACUUCACAAUUUACGAUGACGAGAGAAAAAUAAAAUAAAUACUUUAAUUAUACAUCAAAUCUAUCAUAAAAAAAACUCGACCAUGUGAAUCUAAUAAAAUUAAAGAAGUUCACCAAGUAGAUCACACUCAUUGAAGCUCUAAUUAUAAUAUCACUAGCAGCAUUAUAAAGUUCUGGACAAAAUAAAUCAAAUAUAAACAAUAAAGAUAAUCAAGGAUAAUGAUAAUUGAAGUGGGUCAUAUAUAAUAGGCGGAAAACAUGGUGAAAUCUAGGGUUAAGAUUAAAAAAGAUGAUGGAAGGGAAGAUGAAGGUGAAGAUGAAGAACAACAAUCAGAUUAGCGAGAAGAACAGGCAUCAAAAUUCUGGAUGGAGAAGUUCCAGUUUUCCAGACUGCAACAGUAGAAAUGAUAAGACCACCUGCUAAGAAGGCCAGUAAUCUGUCGUGAAUGAAGAAAUUCAUGGAUGGUAGCAGCGAGAUUUAGCAUGAAGCAUUUAACUUGUUUUCUCUAUUGUAAUUCAUGUCGCUAGAGGUAAUAGAAUUGCACUUGUCUUGCCAGCAUUUAUAGAGAUAUGAAUCUGUUGAAAGGGAAAUUAAAUCGUAGAGUCAACCUUGUUGCGGAUUCCAAAGGGAAACCAUGAUGGUUUAACAGUUAAGCUUUGGUCAUCAAUGCAAUUGGUUCAGGUUGGGGUUUGGAAGAGGUUCGGUGAACUGCGGCGGCCGGAGCCUAAUCUGAUUAGGAGUGGGUACCCUAGGUUGGUUCGGUGGAACAAAUUGAAACUGGAAGUUGAGAAUGUUUCGUUGGUUCUAGACUCGGAUAAAGAGAGUUUUAGCUCUGGAAAACUGGGAUUUCCUCAAGUUUUAUGGAGAAAAAGAAAUGUGGGCCGGCGACUGUUGGUUCUAGUUUGAACGACGAUUUAAUGGCAUUUGCUCGACGCGUCAGGAUUUCAAUGCUGUGUGGAGUUGGCUGUUCAGAACAGUAUUUACCUCAUAGGGUUGCAAUGCAAUUCGGAACCGACGAAGAUCUUUCAGGGUUGUGUUGGUCAAUGCUCUAAUUAACAGACCUGAGAUUGCAGAGAGCUUAAAGCUUUUGUUGAAG
rnacentral:lncRNA from 1 species